AGCGGUGGAAUGCGCAGAUAUCAGGAGGAACACCGAUGGCGAAGGCAGUUCUCUGGGCCGUAACUGACGCUGAGGAGCGAAAGCGUGGGGAGCGAACAGGAUUAGAUACCCUGGUAGUCCACGCCGUAAACGUUGGGCGCUAGAUGUGGGGACCUUUCCACGGUUUCCGUGUCGUAGCUAACGCAUUAAGCGCCCCGCCUGGGGAGUACGGCCGCAAGGCUAAAACUCAAAGGAAUUGACGGGGGCCCGCACAAGCGGCGGAGCAUGCGGAUUAAUUCGAUGCAACGCGAAGAACCUUACCAAGGCUUGACAUACACCAGAACGCCGCAGAGAUGCGGAACUCUUUGGACACUGGUGUACAGGUGGUGCAUGGUUGUCGUCAGCUCGUGUCGUGAGAUGUUGGGUUAAGUCCCGCAACGAGCGCAACCCUCGUCGUAUGUUGCCAGCACGUCAUGGUGGGAACUCAUAUGAGACUGCCGGGGUCAACUCGGAGGAAGGUGGGGAUGACGUUAAAUCAUCAUGCCCCUUAUGUCUUGGGCUUCACGCAUGCUACAAUGGCCGGUACAAAGGGCUGCGAUGUCGUAAGGCGGAGCGAAUCCCAAAAAGCCGGUCUCAGUUCGGAUUGAGGUCUGCAACUCGACCUCAUGAAGUCGGAGUCGCUAGUAAUCGCAGAUCAGCAACGCUGCGGUGAAUACGUUCCCGGGCCUUGUACACACCGCCCGUCAAGUCAUGAAAGUCGGUAACACCCGAAGCCGGUGGCCUAACCCCUUGUGGGAGGGAGCCGUCGAAGGUGGGAUCGGUGAUUAGGACUAAGUCGUAACAAGGUAACCAAGGG
rnacentral:rRNA from 1 species